rnacentral:rRNA from 1 species
UACAGAGGUCCCGAGCGUUGUUCGGAUUCACUGGGCGUAAAGGGUGCGUAGGUGGCGAGGUAAGUCGGAUGUGAAAGCUCGGAGCUCAACUCCGAAAUGGCAUUGGAAACUACCUUGCUCGAGGGUUGGAGGGGGGACUGGAAUACUUGGUGUAGCAGUGAAAUGCGUAGAUAUCAAGUGGAACACCAGUGGCGAAGGCGAGUCCCUGGACACGUAUUGACGCUGAGGUGCGAAAGCGUGGGGAGCAAACAGG